GACGAACGCUGGCGGCGUGCUUAACACAUGCAAGUCGAACGGAAAGGCCCUGCUUGCAGGGUACUCGAGUGGCGAACGGGUGAGUAACACGUGGGUGAUCUGCCCUGCACUUCGGGAUAAGCCUGGGAAACUGGGUCUAAUACCGGAUAGGAGCCAUUUUUAGUGUGAUGGUUGGAAAGUUUUUUUCGGUGUAGGAUGAGCUCGCGGCCUAUCAGCUUGUUGGUGGGGUAAUGGCCUACCAAGGCGGCGACGGGUAGCCGGCCUGAGAGGGUGGACGGCCACAUUGGGACUGAGAUACGGCCCAGACUCCUACGGGAGGCAGCAGUGGGGAAUAUUGCACAAUGGGCGCAAGCCUGAUGCAGCGACGCCGCGUGGGGGAUGACGGCCUUCGGGUUGUAAACUCCCUUCGCUAGGGACGAAGCUUUUUGUGACGGUACCUAGAGAAGAAGCACCGGCUAACUACGUG
rnacentral:rRNA from 1 species